AUAGCGUAUAUUAAAGUUGUUGCAGUUAAAAAGCUCGUAGUUGAACUUCAGAUCUGGUUGAGUGGUCCGCCUAACGGUGUGUUACUACUUGACUGGGUCUUGUCUCUUGGUGAACCGUUGUGUUCUUUAUUGAAUGCUUCGGGGAACCAGGACUUUUACCUUGAGAAAAUUAGAGUGUUCAAAGCAGGCCUAUGCCCGAAUACAUUAGCAUGGAAUAAUAGAAUAGGACGUGUGGUUCUAUUUUGUUGGUUCUUAGAGCUGCCGUAAUGAUUAAUAGGGAUAGUUGGGGGCAUUGGUAUUGAGUCGCUAGAGGUGAAAUUCUUGGAUUGACUCAAGACCAACUAUUG
rnacentral:rRNA from 1 species